GUCCCACUGCUACCAUGGUCUGGGGGUGGGAAGGUCCCAAUGCCACUGUCCAAGGUUCGAGUCAAGGAGCCACAGGCUGUGAAGUGUGAGGUGGGCACUGGCUCGGCCAGGCUGUCCUCCGAGGGCAUCUCUUCCCGCCUCCCUGGCUCGCUGCUCGGCUUUCCAGGAGGUUUUCCGCAGCCCUGAAGAGGGCCCACCAGGCCAUUCCGGGGCCCACAGGCUGGCCAGGGGCUCUUGGGGUCAGAAGACACCGGCUGGAAAUCCCCGUACUCAGGCUUGGGCUCCCGCCAGCUCUUGGAUGGCAGCUCCUUGCCAUCCACCCUAUGGGCAACAGUGCAGAUAUAGGUGAGGGUGGUCU
rnacentral:lncRNA from 1 species